rnacentral:hammerhead_ribozyme from 1 species
GCUGAGGAGUCCCAUAACAGGACGAAACGGUCGUCC